GGAGGGGGACUGGCUACUAUGAGACCAGUUCAUAAUGGGGCUCUCCAACAAAUUCUUACAGGAAAAAUUGCAAGAGAUUACCCGGACAACGCCCGACAUGACAUUCUACAGCAUCUACCUAGCCACCGUGGAGAAAGAGUUAAAGCACAU